rnacentral:lncRNA from 1 species
ACUUAUUCUCAUAGAAAUGGAAAAAGUUAGCUGAAUUAUCACUUUAGUAAAUGAAGAAAAAACAUCAUUAUUCUCCUUUUCUACUCAUUCUUUAUAUUCUUCAGAAAUUUGAUGGAGUAACUAUCUGACAAUAUUACUUGGACAUUCACAUUGGAUAAACUACUAGCGACCAUGAAAAGUUUUGUGUUCAGGAAUUGUGGCUUCUAAACUGGAUCGUCUUGAUGACAAUCUGUGGGCAAGUGUGGGCUCUUGGCGUCGGGUUUCUCCCCUCAACAGCAAAGUGUCCCCUUCUGGAGGUGAAACCAGGGUACGCCAUUCCCUGAAGAAUCGCUGGAUUAUCUGGCAAGCUAAACUGAAAGGAUGGAGCAAAAGCUGUGAAGUCAGACGACAGGGCAGAUUGCAGACCAAGCAGGAUGUUCUUUGUAUGUUGAAACCUGGUCACAGCAGCUUCUUCACUAACAAAGGGAUUUUCCGGAAGUCUUCUUGAGUAGUCUGUUACAUCUUAUUUCUACAUUGUAAGCCAAAUUACUAAUGAAAUUUUCCAUGCUUUCUGGAUCUGGUAAUGUUCAAAAGUAAACCAAACAUUUACUUCGCUGCAUCAUGGACACCUGACUCCUUUGAAGUACGGAGAACCUUUCAUCUUACUUUUGUAAAACUCCCAGUUUUAAUUCAUCAUGGAGGAUACCUUUAAAAACUGUUUUUUCUUGCAUAUUGAGUGAGAUUGGCCAGUCAUAAGACGGGGCUUGAGCUGCGGCUGUUGUUCUCGUGAUUUAUAUUGCGUCAUCUCUCUUCUCCAGUCUACAUCCUGAAGUAAACAGAUGAAAAAUGAGACAGCUGGCUGGGACAAGGAGAUCUCGGCCCACCUUUGACAGAGGUCCUGUGAGCAGCCAAGGGGUAGCCUGUGGCUACAGUUCUUGUGUCUGAUUAACUGACUGAGACAAUGUCAGUCAUCAGUCAAUGGCUUUGUGGUUCGAGUUGUGAUAAGAUACAACUUUGAUAAUAAGCAAUGUGUCUAUGUGUAUUAGUUUGCUAG